rnacentral:rRNA from 1 species
GACAGAGGCCUCGAGCGUUAGGCGGAAUCACUGGGCUUAAAGCGUGUGUAGGCGGACCCCUAAGUACCUUGUGAAAUCCCACGGCUCACCCGUGGAACCGCUGGGUAUACUGGGGGUCUUGGGCCACUCAGGGGCGACUGGAACAAGCGGUGGAGCGGCGAAAUGCGUAGAUAUCGCUUGGAACGCCGAAGGUGAAAACAGGUCGCUGGGAGUGCGCCGACGCUGAGACACGAAAGCCAGGGGAGCAAACGGG